AGAGUUUGAUCAUGGCUCAGAAUCAACGCUGGCGGCGUGCCUAACACAUGCAAGUCGAACGAGAAAGGGGAGCAAUCCCUGAGUAAAGUGGCGACCGGGUGAGUAACACGUGACUAACCUACCUUCGAGUGGGGGAUAACAUCGGGAAACCGAUGCUAAUACCGCAUAACAUCGCAAGAUCAAAGCAGCAAUGCGCUGGAAGAGGGGGUCGCGGCUGAUUAGCUAGUUGGCGGGGUAAUGGCCCACCAAGGCGAAGAUCGGUAUCCGGCCUGAGAGGGCGCACGGACACACUGGAACUGAAACACGGUCCAGACUCCUACGGGAGGCAGCAGUGGGGAAUUUUGCGCAAUGGGGGAAACCCUGACGCAGCAACGCCGCGUGGAGGAUGAAGUCCCUUGGGACGUAAACUCCUUUCGACCAAGACGAUAAUGACGGUACUGGUGGAAGAAGCACCGGCUAACUCUGUGCCAGCAGCCGCGGUAAUACAGAGGGUGCAAGCGUUGUUCGGAAUUAUUGGGCGUAAAGGGCGCGUAGGCGGCGCGGUAAGUCACCUGUGAAAUCUCCGGGCUCAACUCGGAGCCUGCAGGCGAAACUGCCGUGCUGGAGUAUGGGAGAGGUGCGUGGAAUUCCCGGUGUAGCGGUGAAAUGCGUAGAUAUCGGGAGGAACACCUGUGGCGAAAGCGGCGCACUGGACCAUAACUGACGCUGAUGCGCGAAAGCUAGGGGAGCAAACAGGAUUAGAUACCCUAGUAGUCC
rnacentral:rRNA from 1 species